UGAGGAAUAUUGGGCAAUGGGGGCAACCCUGACCCAGCCAUGCCGCGUGAGUGAAGAAGGUCUUCGGAUUGUAAAGCUCUUUCGGACGUGACGAUGAUGACGGUAGCGUCUAAAGAAGCACCGGCAAACUUCGUGCCAGCAGCCGCGGUAAUACGAAGGGUGCGAGCGUUGUUCGGAAUUACUGGGCGUAAAGGGAGUGUAGGCGGAUAUGUAAGAUAGCGGUGAAAUGCCGGGGCUCAACCCCGGAACUGCCAUUAUGACUAUGUAUCUGGAGUAAUGGAGAGGAUAGCGGAAUACCCAGUGUAGAGGUGAAAUUCGUAGAUAUUGGGUAGAACACCGGUGGCGAAGGCGGCUAUCUGGCCAUUUACUGACGCUGAGGCUCGAAAGCAUGGGGAUCAAACAGG
rnacentral:rRNA from 1 species